ensembl:lncRNA
UGUGUCUGUCCCAAAAUGGCACCCUAUUGCGUAUAUAGUGCACUGCCUCCCAAAUGGCACCCUAUUCCCUAUAUUGUGCACUACUUUUGACCAGGGCCGAUAGGUCCACAUUUUGACCAGACUUGCCCAGAUAAUGAGUCAUGGAGGCAAUUAUGUGCAUCCCAAAUAGCACCCUAUUCCCUAUAUAGUGCACUACAGGACCUCGAUCUACAUCUCCUGUUCUUCUGUCUGCUGGACGUCUCAGGGUGGAGGUGGUGGCACCACGCUGCUGUCCUCAGGGUGGAGGUGGUGACACCACGCUGCUGUCCUCAGGGUGGAAGUGGUGACACCACGCUGCUGUCCUCAGGGUGGAGGUGGUGACACCACGCUGCUGUCCUCAGGGUGUGAGGGUCAGGGUGGAGGUGGUGACACCAUGCUGCUGUCCCCAGGGUGUGAGGGUCAGGGUGGAGGUGGUGACACCAUGCUCCUGUCCCCAGGGUGUGAGGGUCAGGGUGGAGGUGGUGACACCAUGCUGCUGUCCCCAGGGUGUGAGGGUCAGGGUCAGGG